UUUCCGUAGGUGAACCUGCGGAAGGAUCAUUAUUGUAUAACCGAAGGUCGAGGGCUGCCGCUCACCCUAACGUUCGUGCACUCGCGAGUGACCUUACGUACAUCCAUCUCACCCCUCUGUGCACCACCGCGUGGGUCCCCCGUUGGCUUGUUCGGGGGGGUGCUUACUUUUUCUCACAAACGUUUGAUGCAUUUUAGAAUGUAUAUUUUUUUUUCACGGUAACGCAAUCAAUACAACUUUCAACAACGGAUCUCUUAUCGCUCGAGUCGAUGAAGAACC
rnacentral:misc_RNA from 1 species